UAAGGAAUAUUGGUCAAUGGAGGCAACUCUGAACCAGCCAUGCCGCGUGCAGGAAGACGGCCCUCUGGGUUGUAAACUGCUUUUAUUCGGGAAUAAACCUAUCUACGUGUAGAUAGCUGAAUGUACCGUAGGAAUAAGGAUCGGCUAACUCCGUUCCAGCAGCCGCGGUAAUACGGAGGAUCCAAGCGUUAUCCGGAUUUAUUGGGUUUAAAGGGUGCGUAGGCGGCUUAUUAAGUCAGGGGUGAAAGACGGUGGCUCAACCAUCGCAGUGCCCUUGAUACUGAUGAGAUUGAAUGAACUAGAGGUAGGCGGAAUGUGACAAGUAGAGGUGAAAUGCAUAGAUAUGUCACAGAACACCGAUUGCGAAGGCAGCUUACUAUGGUUUUAUUGACGCUGAGGCACGAAAGCGUGGGGAUCAAACA
rnacentral:rRNA from 1 species